AUUGAACGCUGGCGGCAGGCUUAACACAUGCAAGUCGAGCGGGCGAGGUUGCUUCGGUAACUGAGCUAGCGGCGGACGGGUGAGUAAUGCUUAGGAAUCUGCCUAUUAGUGGGGGACAACAUUCCGAAAGGAAUGCUAAUACCGCAUACGCCCUACGGGGGAAAGCAGGGGAUCUUCGGACCUUGCGCUAAUAGAUGAGCCUAAGUCAGAUUAGCUAGUUGGUGGGGUAAAGGCCUACCAAGGCGACGAUCUGUAGCGGAUCUGAGAGGAUGAUCCGCCACACUGGGACUGAGACACGGCCCAGACUCCUACGGGAGGCAGCAGUGGGGAAUAUUGGACAAUGGGCGCAAGCCUGAUCCAGCCAUGCAGCGUGUGUGAAGAAGGCCUUUUGGUUGUAAAGCACUUUAAGCGAGGAGGAGGCUACCGAGAUUAAUACUCUUGGAUAGUGGACGUUACUCGCAGAAUAAGCACCGGCUAACUCUGUGCCAGCAGCCGCCGUAA
rnacentral:rRNA from 1 species